rnacentral:rRNA from 1 species
GAUGAACGCUGGCGGCGUGCUUAACACAUGCAAGUCGAACGAUGAAGCCCAGCUUGUUGGGUGGAUUAGUGGCGAACGGGUGAGUAACACGUGAGUAACCUGCCCUUAACUCUGGGAUAAGCCUGGGAAACUGGGUCUAAUACCGGAUAGGAGCGUCCACCGCAUGGUGGGUGUUGGAAAGAUUUAUCGGUUUUGGAUGGACUCGCGGCCUAUCAGCUUGUUGGUGAGGUAAUGGCUCACCAAGGCGACGACGGGUAGCCGGCCUGAGAGGGUGACCGGCCACACUGGGACUGAGACACGGCCCAGACUCCUACGGGAGGCAGCAGUGGGGAAUAUUGCACAAUGGGCGCAAGCCUGAUGCAGCGACGCCGCGUGAGGGAUGACGGCCUUCGGGUUGUAAACCUCUUUCAGUAGGGAAGAAGCGAAAGUGACGGUACCUGCAGAAGAAGCACCGGCUAACUACGUG